AUGAUGCCCCGCACGGCGGCGACUCGAUGGCGCCGGCGCUCGGCUGGGAAAUCAAUCCGGCAGCCGCCGAUAGGUCACACUGAUUCAUCUGGUUGCAUCACUCUUCGCGUUGCUCGUCUGGGGUGGGAUAUAAUCAAACUAUAUUUCCUGUAUGAGAUUCUGAAUCCCCUCUUUUUGUGGGUUAUGUGCCGGAUCACAGAUCGAACAUCUCCGCCGGCUAUCCAAUCACAUCCGUCGGGCAGAUGGUCGGAGGGGUGCCCGGUGCGGGAUAGCGCCGGCGGCGAUUCUGGUGCCGCCCGCCCGGACCUGCGGCUGAAUCCCCGGCUCCUCUCCUUCCAGCAGCGGGCCUCCACUCAUAUCUGUGAUCUCUCCAUCUCCAUCUCAAAUGUAUCAGUCUCCCCCGCCGCCUAG
rnacentral:rRNA from 1 species